CCUUUAUUUAUAUCCAGGCGGGUCUGCCCACAAAUAAGUAUCUGGCAUGAUGACAUCAUUGCGCCAACCCCAUCACAUACACCCCGUACAAAUAUAGGUGUAUGUGACAAGGUUGGCGCCAUAAUGUACUUAUGUGGACCAGUCACACAUGUGUAGAAACCAGCUACUGUGUAGAGAGCAGCUGCUGUGUUGAAAGCAGUAGUAUUGAAGGUAAAAUGACACUUCAUGAAUUCUAACUACUGGGUAAAUGUAAAAUCAUUACUGUAAAAUCAUCAACUGCUGCAAAAAAAAAAAAUUGUACUAUGGGAACUUAAUCUGGAUGCUGAUCAGUCUUUUUAUAUUCAGCUGUGGUUGAUGUGAAUACUGGCCCUUUGUGAUAGUAACAGCAAACCAUCCCAUAACAAUGGAUCGUGUAAAGAAGAAUGUUAAGAAAAGAAAAUAUAGUGAGGAUUUUUUACGGUAUGGUUUUACCUCAAUAAUUACAGCAGGAAUUGAGAAACCGCAAUGAGUUAUUUGUUGUGAAGUUCUAUCAGCUGAAUCUACGAAGCCAAACAAACUAAAAUGCCAUUUUGAUAGCAAGCAUCUGAGCUUUGCUGGCAAGGAUACCAAUUAUUUUAGAAGCAAAGCUGAUGGACUCAAGAAAGUCAGACUUGACACUGGUGGCAAGUACCACAA